CUGGCUCAGGAUAAACGCUGGCGGCGUGCUUAACACAUGCAAGUCGAACGGAGUAAUUCUCCCGAAGAUUGAGGAAGCUUGCUUCUGAAAGAUUCAUUUGAAUUACUUAGUGGCGGACGGGUGAGUAACGCGUGGGAAACCUGCCCUAUACUGGGGGAUAGCAGUUGGAAACGACUGAUAAUACCGCAUAAGCGCACAGCUUCGCAUGAAGCAGUGUGAAAAACUCCGGUGGUAUAGGAUGGUCCCGCGUCUGAUUAGCUAGUUGGUGAGGUAACGGCCCACCAAGGCAACGAUCAGUAGCCGGCCUGAGAGGGUGUACGGCCACAUUGGGACUGAGACACGGCCCAAACUCCUACGGGAGGCAGCAGUGGGGAAUAUUGGACAAUGGGGGAAACCCUGAUCCAAGCGACGCCGCGUGAACGAAGAAGUAUUUCGGUAUGUAAAGUUCUAUCAGCAGGGAAGAUAAUGACGGUACCUGACUAAGAAGCACCGGCUAAAUACGUGCCAGCAGCUGC
rnacentral:rRNA from 1 species